UUAAUCGAUUUCUUCGGAUUGAAAUUUUAGUGACUGAGUGGCGGACGGGUGAGUAACGCGUGGGUAACCUGCCUCACACAGGGGGAUAACAGUUGGAAACGGCUGCUAAUACCGCAUAAGCGCACAGUACCGCAUGGUACGGUGUGAAAAACUCCGGUGGUGUGAGAUGGACCCGCGUCUGAUUAGCUAGUUGGCAGGGCAACGGCCUACCAAGGCGACGAUCAGUAGCCGACCUGAGAGGGUGACCGGCCACAUUGGGACUGAGACACGGCCCAAACUCCUACGGGAGGCAGCAGUGGGGAAUAUUGCACAAUGGGGGAAACCCUGAUGCAGCGACGCCGCGUGAGCGAAGAAGUAUUUCGGUAUGUAAAGCUCUAUCAGCAGGGAAGAAGAAAUGACGGUACCUGACUAAGAAGCACCGGCUAAAUACGUGCCAGCAGCCGCGGUAAUACGUAUGGUGCAAGCGUUAUCCGGAUUUACUGGGUGUAAAGGGAGCGCAGGCGGAAGGCUAAGUCUGAUGUGAAAGCCCGGGGCUCAACCCCGGUACUGCAUUGGAAACUGGUCAUCUAGAGUGUCGGAGGGGUAAGUGGAAUUCCUAGUGUAGCGGUGAAAUGCGUAGAUAUUAGGAGGAACACCAGUGGCGAAGGCGGCUUACUGGACGAUAACUGACGCUGAGGCUCGAAAGCGUGGGGAGCAAACAGGAUUAGAUACCCUGGUAGUC
rnacentral:rRNA from 1 species